GCCAGCGAACCCACUGGGUCUGUUUCGUAAACAGCAGGUCUUCGGUUCGAAUCCGAACGUUGGCUCCA
rnacentral:tRNA from 1 species